rnacentral:rRNA from 1 species
AAUAUUGCGCAAUGGAGGGAACUCUGACGCAGCGACGCCGCGUGAGCGAUGAAGGUCUUCGGAUCGUAAAUCUCUGUCCUUGGGGACGAAGGUCUUCGGACUUGACGGUACCUAAGGACGCAGCCCCGGCUAACUACGUGCCCGCAGCCGCGGUAAUACGUAGGGGGCAAGCGUUUUCCGGAAUUUUUGGGCGUAAAGGGUGCGUAGGCGGCCUUUUAAGUCAGAUGCGAAAGCCCACGGCUUAACCGUGGGACUGCAUUAGAAACUGGAGGGCUUGAGUAUCGGAGAGGGUAGUGGAAUUCCCAGUGUAGCGGUGGAAUGCGUAGAUAUUGGGAGGAACACCAGUGGCGAAGGCGACUACCUGGACGAAAACUGACGCUGAGGCACGAAAGCUAGGGGAGCAAAC